AAGCACUGCCUGCCCAGUGACAUUGAUUUAACGGCCACGGUAUUUUGACCGUGCAAAGGUAACAUAAUCACUUGUUUUUUAAAUAAAGACUUGUAUGAAUGGCAAAACGAAAGCUUAACUGUCUCCACUGUCCAGCCAGUGAAACUGAUCUUCCUGUUCAAAAGCAGGAAUAAAAAUGUAAGACGAAAAGACCCUAUGGAACUUUAGACACAAAUCAACUAUGCCAACAGACCGCAUAUGCCAUGAUCCACAUCUUUAGUUGGGGCGACUGCGGAGAACAAAAAUCCUCCGUGAUAUCUACUAAAUUACACAAAACUAAGUACCAAGACACUUGAAACAGCUGAUCCAAUAAAAUUGAUCAACGAAUUAAGCUACCCUAGGGAUAACAGCGCAAUCUUCUUACAGAGGCCAUAUCGACAAGAAGGUUUACGACCUCGAUGUUGGAUCAGGAUAUCCAGACAGUGUAGCCGCUGUCACAGGUUUGUUUGUUCAACAAUUAAAAUCCUACGUGAUCUGAGUUUCA
rnacentral:rRNA from 1 species